UUUUUAUUUAUCUUCCGACCUGUAUUUGCUACGGCAGAGGCUAUGCGGUGCAGGCGUCAGGGUAUGAUUGGAAACGAUUAUGCCUUCCAGUGUGAAAAGGAAGCGAUAAGUGUGAUAA
rnacentral:ncRNA from 1 species